rnacentral:rRNA from 1 species
GCAAGUCGAACGGGAAGCUUUCCUUCGGGGAAGUGGAAAGUGGCGCACGGGUGCGUAACACGUGGGUAAUCAACCCUUCAGCCCGGGAUAACGGUGGGAAACCACCGCUAAUACCGGAUACGUCGGACUGUUCUUCGGAACGGUUUGGGAAAGGCUCGCAAGGGUCACUCAAGGACGAGCUCGCGGCCGAUCAGCUUGUUGGUGAGGUAAUGGCUCACCAAGGCUAAGACGGGUAGCUGGUCUGAGAGGAUGAUC